GUGUCAGCCGCCGCGGUAAUACGUAGGGUGCGAGCGUUAAUCGGAAUUACUGGGCGUAAAGCGUGCGCAGGCGGUUUUGUAAGACAGAGGUGAAAUCCCCGGGCUCAACCUGGGAACUGCCUUUGUGACUGCAAGGCUAGAGUGCGGCAGAGGGGGAUGGAAUUCCGCGUGUAGCAGUGAAAUGCGUAGAUAUGCGGAGGAACACCGAUGGCGAAGGCAAUCCCCUGGGCCUGCACUGACGCUCAUGCACGAAAGCGUGGGGAGCAAACAGGAUUAGAUACCCUGGUAGUCCACGCCCUAAACGAUGUCAACUGGUUGUUGGGUCUUUGCUGACUCAGUAACGAAGCUAACGCGUGAAGUUGACCGCCUGGGGAGUACGGCCGCAAGGUUGAAACUCAAAUGAAUUGACGGGG
rnacentral:rRNA from 1 species